AAUAUUUGGCAAUGGACGGAAGACUGACCCAGACAUGCCGCGUGAAGGAUGAAGGCGUGCUGCGUUGUGAACUGCUUUUACCAGGGAUGAAUUGAUAUGGUUCUCAAUAUUUUGACGGUACCGGGGGAAUAAGCACCGGCUAACUCCGUGCCAGCAGCCGCGGUAAUACGGAGGGUGCAAGCGUUAUCCGGAUUUACUGGGUUUAAAGGGUACGUAGGCGGACUAUUAAGUCAGGGGUGAAAUCUCCGAGCUCAACUCGGAAACUGCCUUUGAAACUAGUGGUCUUGAAUUAUGUUGAGGUUGGCGGAAUAUAACAUGUAGCGGUGAAAUGCAUAGAUAUGUUAUAGAACACCGAUUGCGAAGGCAGCUGACUAAACAUAUAUUGACGCUGAUGUACGAAAGCGUGGGGAUCAAAC
rnacentral:rRNA from 1 species